CCUACGGGAGGCAGCAGUGGGGGAUAUUGCACAAUGGGGGAAACCCUGAUGCAGCGACGCCGCGUGUGGGAAGACGGUCUUCUGGAUUGUAAACCACUGUCCCCAGGGACGAAAUUGACGGUACCUGGGGAGGAAGCUCCGGCAAACUACGUGCGAGCAGCCGCGGUAAUACGUAGGGAGCAAGCGUUGUCCGGAAUUACUGGGUGUAAGGGGAGCGUAGGCGGGGAUGCAAGUUGGGUGUAAAAACUACCGGCUCAACCGAUAGUCGCACUCAAAACUGCAACUCUUGAGUGAAGUAGAGGCAGGCGGAAUUCCUAGUGUAGCGGUGAAAUGCGUAGAUAUUAGGCGGAACACCAGUGGCGAAGGCGGCCUGCUGGGCUUUUACUGACGCUGAGGCUCGAAAGUGUGGGGAGCAAACAGGAUUAGAUACCCUUGUAGUC
rnacentral:rRNA from 1 species